rnacentral:rRNA from 1 species
UACGUAGGGUGCGAGCGUUAAUCGGAAUUACUGGGCGUAAAGCGUGCGCAGGCGGUGAUGUAAGACAGAUGUGAAAUCCCCGGGCUCAACCUGGGAACUGCAUUUGUGACUGCAUCGCUGGAGUGCGGCAGAGGGGGAUGGAAUUCCGCGUGUAGCAGUGAAAUGCGUAGAUAUGCGGAGGAACACCGAUGGCGAAGGCAAUCCCCUGGGCCUGCACUGACGCUCAUGCACGAAAGCGUGGGGAGCAAACAGGAAUUAGA